AUAUAGUUAGAUUAAAUGCACGUCCAAUUGCUUUACGUGGUUAUUCUUAAACUCUGGGCUCUCAAAAUAAGACAUGCUCGUUGUGGUACAAAUAGCUUAACUUAUACCCUCUUAUUAUAAAACGCGGUAUCAAAUAAGUAUCGGCUUUUGUACUACCUUUAAUCCACCUUUAAGUACGACCUUGAAAAAACGUUAUUACAAAACGCAGUUUAUCGCAAGUCCUAUUACUAUCUGUAGUACAAAAGAUAAACCAUCGAGCCCCCUAGUUUAACUGCAGUACUUAGUCGACAAACGUCAAAUUCCGACAUUAUUUACUUUUGAGGUUAUUUGUUUUGUGAUGAAAAAAACGAAAGUGGAUAUAAAUAUGUGUGAUUUGGAAUACUUGGAUGUGUUAGAAUACUAUUGAGAGUGUCCGGGAACCCAAAAGAAUGCGUCAUCGACAAAAUCUCUUCAAAUAACCUGACGACAAUUUUCGAUAUAAAUAUCGAUUUACGUUUUUCGAAAUAAUAGUCAAUUGAAUGCAUGAUGAUAAUCCAGGAUGAUCCUAUGAUGCUCAACUGGGCUCGCCAUAAAAUUCAAGACUAUUUUGGCGUUUCGCACGCCGUAUCUCUGCCAGUAAUAUGCAAUGUUUGUAAAAGACUGGAAGCUUGCUAAAAUGUACAAAAAUGCCUAGAUGAGAAAGGGAACAAGAUUGUGUGAUGAAGAACAGUGUCCAACAUGUAUCAGUGCAUUUGACUGUAUAAAUAGACAUCGGAAUAAAAUAUAAUUUUCUACUUU